UUAUGGCGCAAUCGCCUUGAGUUUGAUCAUGGCUCAGAUUGAACGCUGGCGGCAUGCCUUACACAUGCAAGUCGAACGGCAGCACGGGGGGUAACCCCUGGUGGCGAGUGGCGAACGGGUGAGUAAUGUAUCGGAACGUGUCCUGUAGCGGGGGAUAACCUCUCGAAAGAGAGGCUAAUACCGCAUACGACCUACGGGUGAAAGCGGAGGACCGCAAGGCUUCGCACUAUAGGAGCGGCCGAUAUCGGAUUAGCUAGUUGGCGGGGUAAAAGCCCACCAAGGCGACGAUCCGUAGCUGGUCUGAGAGGACGACCAGCCACACUGGAACUGAGACACGGUCCAGACUCCUACGGGAGGCAGCAGUGGGGAAUUUUGGACAAUGGGCGCAAGCCUGAUCCAGCCAUGCCGCGUGAGUGAAGAAGGCCUUCGGGUUGUAAAGCUCUUUCGGCGGGGACGAAACGGUCCGUGCUAACACCACGGACUACUGACGGUACCCGCAGAAGAAGCACCGGCUAACUACGUGCCAGCAGCCGCGGUAAUACGUAGGGUGCAGGCGUUAAUCGGAAUUACUGGGCGUAAAGCGUGCGUAGGCGGUUUGUUAAGACAGGUGUGAAAUCCCCGGGCUUAACCUGGGAACUGCGCUUGUUACUGGCAGACUGGAGUGUGGCAGGNGGGGGGUGGAAUUCCCAGUGUAGCAGUGAAAUGCGUAGAUAUCUGGAGGAACACCGAUGGCGAAGGCAGCCCCCUGGGCUACACUGACGCUGAUGC
rnacentral:rRNA from 1 species